ACUGCAUACUGUGACAAUCUGAGAACCAACAUGGCCACUCAAUGACUAACAGGGUUAAUACGCUGGACAAAGGGAUGAUUCCUAUCCUGGGUGAAAUGAAGCAAAACGAUGUGGGAUUUAUCACGCUAUUCAAAACAACAGGCAAUUUAAAAUGAGCAAGCACCAUUUCAAGGGACACAAAACAGGCUAUUUCAGCAUCGCCUCUGCCUUCACAGCCCUUGCCGAUCAAUGUUUGUCACAGUGCUUAUUUCAAUUGGAAUGUGGAGAAACAUCAAUGUCCUGCUACAUUACUGCCAAGGCAAGGGUGAAAAAUGGGCAGAAGAUUCUUGUCCCCUUCCUCUCUUCUUGUAUCAGCAGGCUUGAGUGCAGUGGCGCAAUCUCAGCUCACUGCAACCUCCACCUCCCGAAUUCAAGUGAUUCUCCUGUCUCAUCCUCCACAGUAGCUGGGAAUAGAGACGAAGUCUUGUUCUGUCGCCAGGCUGGAGUGCAGUGGCGCCAUCUCAGCUCACUGAAAACUCCGCCUCCCGGGUUCAAGCGAUUCUCCUGCCUCAGCCUCCCGAGUAGCUGGGAUUACAGGGUUGCUGACACAGCUGGACAUACACAAUGCCCUUGUGAGGGAGAGUCAGCAAGGUGAAAUUGACACAAAGGGUCGUUGUGCCUGCCCUGCCUGGGUGUUUUUUCAAAAUCUUGUGGAUAUGAAACUAUAGAUGGUGUUGUGACCUCUGCUGCAGUGGCUUGGAAAUUCACUGGCAGCGGGAACAGGGUGACCUCAGUAGAGGGAGUUUUAAUAAUCAAAUGGAUAGAAUGACCUGCUCUGUGGAUACUGGUCAUCCUCUUUCACCAGCCACCCCUCUCAUCGCCUAGUGAGCUCAUGAACAUGGUGAUCAUCAUGGCAAGGAUGGUAGUUACGUGUGGGCUAAGUAACAUGGACUUCCACUCACUAAGGCUGCUGUGGUGCAGCCACUGCUGAGUGCCCCGGUUGCCAGCAGCAGAGACCAACACUGAGUCCCUGAUAAAGCACUAUUCCAUGGCAAGCUGAUUACAUUAGACUAAUUGAUCACGGAAGUAGCAACAUUUUGUUUUUAUCAGAAUAGACACUUACUCUCAAUAUGGACUUACCUUCCCUUCAUGUAAUGCUUCUGCCAAAACAACCAUAAUAUAUUAUGGUUUUUCGUAAAUACUCAGGUCGCCAUAUUUUAGGCAUUGCCUCUGAUCAAGGAAUAUAAAUAAUCCCAUAGUUGUUGAAUUUAUUCAUUUUACUAUGUUCCCCACAAUCCUGAUAGUGUUUGAUAGAAAAGUGGAAUGGCUUUUGAAUACCAAGUUACAAUGUGAGCUAGCUGGCAAUAUCUUGGAGGGCUAGGAUAAAGUUAUUCAAAAGGCUUAUAUGCUCUAAAUCUACAUCCAAUAUAUAGUACUUUUCUUCCCCAUAGCCAAGAUUCACUGGUCCAUGAAACGAGGGCUAGAAAUGGGAGUGGCACUACUCACUAUUUUACCCAGUGACCAACUAUCAAGUUUUGCUUCUUGUACAAUUUUAUGUUUUGCUAGCGUAGAGGUCUUAGUUCCAAAGGGAUACGUGAUUUCACCAGGAAACACAAAAAUAAUUCCGUUAAAUUAAAAGCAAGGACUAUGUGGACGCUUUGGGCUCUUCAUGCUUCUGAAUCAACAGGCAACGAAGGGAGUUAUGGUGCUGACUGAAGUGACUGAUCCUCACUGCCAAUAGUAAAUUAGACUUACUGAACAAAGAAGGAAAGAAGUGUAUGCCUGGAAUACAGGAAUUUUUAUUUUUAUUUAUUUAUUUAUUUAUUUUUGAGACCGAGUCUCACUCUGUCGCCCAGGCUGGAAUGCAGUGGCGAGAUCUCGGUUCACUGCAAGCUCCGCCUCCCGGGUUCACACCAUUCUCCUGCCUCAGCCUCCUGAGUAGCUGGGACUACAGGCGCCCGCCACCACGCCCAGCCGGAAUGCAGGAAUUUACAAAAUUUACAAAAAUUUUUUUGUAUUUUUGGUAGAGACGGGGUUUCACCGCGUUAGCCAGGAUGGUCUCGAUCUCCUGACCUCAUGAUCCGCCCGCCUCUGCCUCCCAAAGUGCUAGGAUUACAGGCGUGAGCCUCCGCCCCCGGCAGGAAUGCAGGAAUUUUUUUUUUACCGUGUCUGUUAGUAUUACCUUGCCUUAUGAUUAACAUCAAUGGAAAACUAGAGCAAUAUUAUCCAGGCAGGACGACUAAUGGCACAGACUCUCAAGAAUGAAGCUUUGGGUCACCCUACUAGGUAAAGAACUGUGACCAGCUAAAGUGUUGCUGAAGGAGAAGGGAACACAGAAUGUUUAGCAGAAAAAAGUAGUUAAAAAUACCAGGUCAAAGACUUGGAAGCAAAAACAUUAUAAAAUUUAAUAACAGAAAGUCUGAAAAAUCCAGUCUGUGGAAGAAACUCUGUGAAUGGCCAUAUAUUUUCAGAAUAUUUUUGUCUGUGUGAAUGUACACACACACACACACACAUCUUCAGAAAAUGCUUUUAAUAACUAGUUGAAGAAGACUCCAUUAUUUGAAGGAAAAUACUUCAAAUCAUUUACAACAAAGGAAGUGAGGCAAUGUACUGACACCGGUCAUAAGUGAUUGCCGAAAGACUUAUAAAAGAUGCAAUUAUGUCGUCAGGUGGUGGUUGGAGUGCCAUACUACACGAUAAUACUCUUUGAAUAACGAUAUGACUUUGCUUGGAGAAAGAAGAGGACUCAUUUGAGGAAUCAGGUAAACUGAAGAGAAAAGAUAUGAGAAGGACAGAAAACUGCAGGGAGCUGAUACACAGUGUGGCUGUUUUCUGUCAAUGAGCUCCAUUUAGCCAGAGACAAACCUUGCAACCACCAGUUAUCUGAUAGGUUUCCUGUGGACAGCCUCCUAUGUGAUAGUCAUGCACACUGCAAGCAGCAUCCUUUUCCCAUAGCAAAUGUAGUCUUGGGAAACAUGAGUAUGGUUGCUAUUAUAGGAAGAAUCAAGAGAAAUGUUCCCUAUGAAUUAAAAAAGAGAAUACCCGAAGUAAUAAUGAAUAAAAUCACAAACAGACUAUUUGAAACAACUGGCAGGAGUGAUGAACCCUGGUUAAUGCCAUGAAAGACAAAUAGAACAUAAAUAGGCAAAAUUUAAAAAUCAAGGUGAAAAUAACUGUAGACAAAAAAGAAAUUCUUAAAAAUCCCAAGUAACAGUUUUGCACAACUUAAAGCAAUUAAAAUGAAAAUGUGAAUUUAAAAGAUUUUCAGAACAAAUAUAUAAUUCUAACCACUAAAUUGAAAACAGAUAACUUUGCACUCUAUGAAAGUUAAAAAUAAAAGAAUAAGUAUUUGUAGGCAUUCAAAUUUAAAGAUAAGGAAAGCAAAGUUGAUUGGUUAACUGAAUAUCAUAUUAGGUAGAAUUAAUGCCAAAAACAUUUCAUAAGGUAAAUACUGAACUUUAUUCUGCUAAAUGUUACAAUUCACAAUUUAAAAAAUUAUACCUAACUAUGCAACAAAUAUAAAGGCAACAUUUGAUUCCUAUUAGAAUGGAUUAAUUGAAUCCAUUAAUUAAGGAAUUAAGUGGUCAACAAUAACAAC